AUUGAACGCUGGCGGCAUGCCUUACACAUGCAAGUCGAACGGUAACAGGUCUUCGGAUGCCGACGAGUGGCGAACGGGUGAGUAAUACAUCGGAACGUGCCUAGUAGUGGGGGAUAACUACUCGAAAGAGUGGCUAAUACCGCAUGAGAUCUACGGAUGAAAGCAGGGGAUCGCAAGACCUUGUGCUACUAGAGCGGCCGAUGGCAGAUUAGGUAGUUGGUGGGAUAAAAGCUUACCAAGCCGACGAUCUGUAGCUGGUCUGAGAGGACGAUCAGCCAAGCUGGGACUGGGACACGGCCCAGACUCCUACGGGAGGCAGCAGUGGGGAAUUUUGGACAAUGGGCGCAAGCCUGAUCCAGCAAUGCCGCGUGCAGGAUGAAGGCCUUCGGGUUGUAAACUGCUUUUGUACGGAACGAAAAGCCCCGGGUUAAUACCCUGGGGUCAUGACGGUACCGUAAGAAUAAGCACCGGCUAACUACGUGCCAGCAGCCGCAGUAA
rnacentral:rRNA from 1 species